AAAGUGAUACUUCUAAGACGAUUUUCGAACAUUGGUCAAUUCCAAACGAAAGAGCAUACUUUUUUCUAUAUAAUGGCAUAUUCUUUAGAGAUUUUUUCUAAAUAGUUAAAAUUUUAUGAAGAAUAUAGACAAAAUUUUAGUAUCGUUCGAUAGCGAAUUUUCACGGUUUUUUCAAUAUUAAAUUGAAUAAAAGUGAUACUUCUAAGCCGAUUUUCGAACAUCGGUCAAUUUCGAACGAAAGAGCAUACUUUUUUCUAUAUAAUGGCAUAUUCUUUAGAGAUUUUUUCUAAAUAGUUAAAAUUUUAUGAGGAAUAUAGACAAAAUUUUAGUAUCGUUCGUUAGCGAAUUUUCACGGUUUUUUCAAUACUAAAUUGAAAAAAAGUGAUACUUCUAAGCCGAUUUUCGAACAUCGGUCAAUUCUAAACGAAAGAGCAUACUUUUUUCUA